rnacentral:rRNA from 1 species
AGCGAACGCUGGCGGCAGGCCUAACACAUGCAAGUCGAACGAACCCUUCGGGGUUAGUGGCGGACGGGUGAGUAACACGUGGGAACGUGCCUUUAGGUUCGGAAUAACUCAGGGAAACUUGUGCUAAUACCGAAUGUGCCCUUCGGGGGAAAGAUUUAUCGCCUUUAGAGCGGCCCGCGUCUGAUUAGCUAGCUGGUGAGGUAAAGGCUCACCAUGGCUACGAUCAGUAGCUGGUCUGAGAGGAUGACCAGCCACAUUGGGACUGAGACACGGCCCAAACUCCUACGGGAGGCAGCAGUGGGGAAUUUUGCGCAAUGGGCGAAAGCCUGACGCAGCCAUGCCGCGUGGAUGAUGAAGGUCUUAGGAUUGUAAAAUCCUUUCACCGGUGAAGAUAAUGACUGUAGCCGGAGAAGAAGCCCCGGCUAACUUCGUGCCAGCCGCCGCCGUAAAAC